rfam:Dipodomys ordii contig_27178, whole genome shotgun sequence.
GGGAAGGUGGCUCAGUGGUAGAGUGCUUGCUUCACAUGCAUGAAGCCGUGGGUUCGAUUCCUUAGUACCA